rnacentral:misc_RNA from 1 species
ACCAAGCACCCCAAAUACUAUCAAGCCGCUUGGCACACUUCUUCCCAAUCUUUGUGACACUAAUAUUUGUCUCAACCUCAUAAUGUUGGGAACCAAGGCCUACAUCUAGCAUAUCACAUGUAUCAUUCCACAACUGAGGAGGGGGGCUGGGCUCGAGUGGGAGAUUAAUAUCAGGCGGCUGUAAAUGGUUAACAGUCCGGAUCAACUCCCUCUCCAUUUCAUCAUGAGAAGAUGAGCCAGAAUCCAUGGACAAGAGGGUGGACAAAUGAUUGCUUUCAAUGGUUAAGGUUGUUAGAAGAUCUUCACCCAUUUUCCCCUUUGCAAGCAUUUCCUAUAAUUCGGGGUGGUCGUAGAGGUGCCUCUAGCCCUUAGCACAGAGUUCAAUGGAACUUACUGCUUUCAGUUCUAACCAAGUAUACAUGUGAAAAGGGAUCUUGAAAAUGCAUAAACAUACUAUAAGGAAUCCACUUCCAACUAACCGACUCUAAAUCCUGGAUCAGCCUAUUUGGAACAAAAUUUCCACCACAACUAACACUUAGUAACAUAACCAUGACCGCCUCAUCCACAUAUCCACAAAGAAUUAGACAACCCGAGAUUCAAACACCUUGAAUCAAACAACCAAGAUUCACAAUCCUUCAAAUUCCAGCCAAAACAGAUAACCAAAGAACCAUAUAAACCACUUCCCAAUGCUUUGCACACACACCCAUAUCAGAAAACUCACAACUUUAUCAAAUAAUUCAUCAAAUACCCACUAAAGAUUCAACCUUUCCAAGAUCAAAACACUAUUUCUUGAUUCCAAACAAAGCCUACAAUCUGAUUCCAAAACCAGAACACCAAUUCUUGAUUCCACACAAAGCCUACAAUCUGAUUCCAAAACCAGAACACCAAUUCUUGAUUCCAC